GACGAACGCUGGCGGCGUGCUUAACACAUGCAAGUCGAACGAUGAAGCCGGAGCUUGCUCUGGUGGAUUAGUGGCGAACGGGUGAGUAACACGUGAGUAACCUGCCCUUUACUCUGGGAUAAGCGUUGGAAACGACGUCUAAUACCGGAUACGAGCUAGGACCGCAUGGUCACUAGCUGGAAAGAACUUCGGUCAAGGAUGGACUCGCGGCCUAUCAGCUAGUUGGUGAGGGAACGGCUCACCAAGGCGACGACGGGUAGCCGGCCUGAGAGGGUGACCGGCCACACUGGGACUGAGACACGGCCCAGACUCCUACGGGAGGCAGCAGUGGGGAAUAUUGCACAAUGGGCGCAAGCCUGAUGCAGCAACGCCGCGUGAGGGACGACGGCCUUCGGGUUGUAAACCUCUUUUAGCAGGGAAGAAGCGCAAGUGACGGUACCUGCAGAAAAAGCACCGGCUAACUACGUGCCAGCCGCCGCCGUAACAC
rnacentral:rRNA from 1 species